rnacentral:rRNA from 1 species
CAGCCGCCGCGGGAAUACGGAGGGAGCUAGCGUUGUUCGGAAUUACUGGGCGUAAAGCGCACGUAGGCGGCUUUGUAAGUUAGAGGUGAAAGCCUGGAGCUCAACUCCAGAAUUGCCUUUAAGACUGCAACGCUUGAAUCCGGGAGAGGUGAGUGGAAUUCCGAGUGUAGGGGUGAAAUUCGUAGAUAUUCGGAAGAACACCAGUGGCGAAGGCGGCUCACUGGACCGGCAUUGACGCUGAGGUGCGAAAGCGUGGGGAGCAAACAGGAUUAGAUACCCCAGUAGUCCCUGUCUCUUAUAC